GGAUGAAUGGCAGAGUGGUCGAUUGCGGCAGUCUUGAAAACUGUUGAGUGUAACACCUCCGGGGGUUCGAAUCCCUCUUCCUCCG
rnacentral:tRNA from 1 species